CUGCAGCUCAAGUGGUGGCCGCUAUUAUUGGGCCUAAAACGUCCGUAGCCGGUUUAGUAAAUGCCUGGGUAAAUCGUGUAGCUUAACUAUACGAAUUCCGGGUAGACUGCUAAACUUGAGACCGGGAGAGGCUAGAGGUACUCCUGGGGUAGAGGUGAAAUUCUGUAAUCCUAGGGGGACCACCAGUGGCGAAGGCGUCUAGCUAGAACGGGUCUGACGGUGAGGGACGAAGCCCUGGGGCACAAACCGGAUUAGAUACCCGCGUAGUCC
rnacentral:rRNA from 1 species